rnacentral:rRNA from 1 species
GCCUUGUACACACCGCCCGUCACACCAUGGGAGUGGGUUGUACCAGAAGUAGAUAGCUUAACCUUCGGGGGGGCGUUUACCACGGUAUGAUUCAUGACUGGGGUGAAGUCGUAACAAGGUAACCGUAGGGGAACCUGCGGUUGGAUCACCUCCUUACC